GGGGGUGUAGCGCAGUGGUAGCGCGUUCGCUUUGCAUGCGAAAGGCCCAGGGUUCAAUCCCCUGCUCCUCCA